CAGUAGCCGCGGUAAUACGAGGGGGGCAAGCGUUGUUCGGAUUUAUUGGGCGUAAAGGGUGCGUAGGCGGUUUGGCAAGUUUGGUGUGAAAUCUUCGGGCUCAACUCGAAGUCUGCAUCAAAAACUGCCGGGCUUGAGUAUGGGAGAGGUGAGUGGAAUUUCCGGUGUAGCGGUGAAAUGCGUAGAUAUCGGAAGGAACACCUGUGGCGAAAGCGGCUCACUGGACCAUAACUGACGCUGAGGCACGAAAGCUAGGGGAGCAAACAGGAUUAGAUACCCCAGUAGUCCCUGUCUCUUAUAC
rnacentral:rRNA from 1 species